UGGCAGAAUAGAGCAGUGGCAGCUCGCAAGGCUCAUAACCUUGAAGUCGCUGGUUCGAGUCCAGCUUCUGCAACCA
rnacentral:tRNA from 1 species